rnacentral:rRNA from 1 species
CCUACGGGAGGCAGCAGUAAGGAAUAUUGGUCAAUGGACGAAAGUCUGAACCAGCCAUGCCGCGUGAAGGAUUAAGGCCCUCUGGGUUGUAAACUUCUUUUAUCUGGGACGAAAAAGGGUAUUCUUACUCACUUGACGGUACCAGAGGAAUAAGCACCGGCUAACUCCGUGCCAGCAGCCGCGGUAAUACGGAGGGUGCAAGCGUUAUCCGGAUUUACUGGGUUUAAAGGGUGCGUAGGUGGGCUUGUAAGUCAGUGGUGAAAUCUCCGGGCUUAACCCGGAAACUGCCAUUGAUACUAUAGGUCUUGAAUUAUCUGGAGGUAAGCGGAAUAUGUCAUGUAGCGGUGAAAUACUUAGAUAUGACAUAGAACACCAAUUGCGAAGGCAGCUUACUACGGAUAUAUUGACACUGAGGCACGAAAGCGUGGGGAUCAAACAGGAUUAGAUACCCUGGUAGUCCACGCCCUAAACCGAUGGAUACUCGACAUCAGCGAUACACUGUUGGUGUCUGAGCGAAAGCAUUAAGUAUCCCACCUGGGAAGUACGAUCGCAAGAUUGAAACUCAAAGAGUAGUAGCGNGNGAGNGCGACGACGACACAGGAGGUUAGG